UACGGGGGGGGCAAGCGUUGUUCGGAAUUACUGGGCGUAAAGGGCUCGUAGGUGGCCAAGUAAGUCAUACGUGAAAUCCCUCGGCUUAACCGGGGAACUGCGUCUGAUACUGGAUGGCUUGAGUUUGGGAGAGGGAUGCGGAAUUCCAGGUGUAGCGGUGAAAUGCGUAGAUAUCUGGAGGAACACCGGUGGCGAAGGCGGUAUCCUGGACCAAUACUGACACUGAGGAGCGAAAGCCAGGGGAGCAAACGGG
rnacentral:rRNA from 1 species